rnacentral:rRNA from 1 species
UAUUAUUGAAUAUGUAAAUGUAUGAUAGUAAAUCAGAGUAGUAAUAGUUAUGAUCUUGAAACUCAAAGAAUUUGGCGGUGUUUUAGUCCUUUCAGAGGAAUCUGUUCUGUAAUUGAUAAUACACGAUUUAUUUGACUUGGUCUUGUUUUCAGUUUAUAUACCGCCGUCGGUAAGAUUAUCUUGAAGAGGGUAUUAAAUUUCAUCAUAUUUUAUUAUAUAUUAUGUCAGGUCAAGGUGUAGCUGAUGAUUAAGUAGAAAUGGAUUACAAUAAAAUUAUUUAAAUAGAUAGUGAUUUGAAAAUUUAUUUGAAAAUGGAUUUGAUUGUAAWUGAGUAUAAAUUGAUUCAUUGAYUUGGGCUCYANAMUGUGUACAUAUCGCCCGUCGCUCUCGUUUUAAGAUGAG